GGCGCAGAUACACAUGCAGUCGAGCGGAACGAGUUGUCUGACCUUCGGGGACGAUAACGGCGUCGAGCGGCGGACGGGUGAGUAAUGCCUGGGAAUUGCCCUGAUGUGGGGGAUAACCAUUGGAACGAUGGCUAAUACCGCAUAAUAGCUUCGGCUCAAGAGGGGGACCUUCGGGCCUCUCGCGUCAGGAUAUGCCCAGGUGGGAUUAGCUAGUUGGUGAGGUAAUGGCUCACCAAGGCGACGAUCCCUAGCUGGUCUGAGAGGAUGAUCAGCCACACUGGAACUGAGACACGGUCCAGACUCCUACGGGAGGCAGCAGUGGGGGAAUAUUGCACAAUGGGCGCAAGCCUGAUGCAGCCAUGCCGCGUGUAUGAAGAAAGCCUUCGGGUUGUAAAGUACUUUCAGCAGUGAGGAAGGUGGGUGCGUUAAUAGCGCAUGUGGCAUUUGAGCCGUUAGCUUUGCAGAAGAAGCUAACGCGCUAAAUCCGUAGCCACCAGCCUGCGGGAAUACGGAGGGUGCGAGCAAGAUUAAACCUCAAAUGAAUUGACGGGGGCCCGCACAAGCGCAUGCAGCAUGUGUUUGUAAAUGUCAGAUGCGAAAGCCCGAAGACCUCAACCUACUCGUGACAUCCAGAGAACUUUCCAGAGACUGGAUUGAUGACUACGAGAACUCUGAGACAGGUGCUGCAUGGCUAGAAUCGUCAGCUCGUAGCGGUGAAAUGCGUAGAGAUCUGAAGGAAUACCCGCAACGAGCGGGCAACCCUGGAUCAUUGAUACUGCCAGCACUUCAGAUGCGAAGCGUCCAGGGAGACAACAGAUAGAUAAACCGGAGGAAGGUCGGGACGACGUCAAGUCAUCAUGGCCCUUACUGUAGUAGUGGCUACACACGUGCUACAAUCGGAGCAUACAGAGGGCAGCCAACUUGCGAAAGUGAGCGAAUCCCAAAAAGUGCGUCGUAGUCCGGAUUGGAGUCUGCAACUCGACUCCAUGAAGUCGGAAUCGCUAGUAAUCGUAGAUCAGAAUGCCACGGUGAAUACGUUCCCGGGCCUUGUACACACCGCCCGUCACACCAUGGGAGUGGGCUGCAAAAGAAGUGGGUAGUUAACCUUCGGGGGACGCUCACCACUUGGGUACUUAUUG
rnacentral:rRNA from 1 species